rnacentral:rRNA from 1 species
ACCCCCGUGAGAAUGCCCUACAGCUCCCUGCCCGGGAACAAGGAGCUGGUAUCAGGCCCACAUCAGUGAUCCCAUGACACCUUGCUUAGCCACACCCUCAAGGGAAUUCAGCAGUGAUAAACAUUAAGCCAUGAGUGAAAACUUGACUUAGUUAAAGCUAAGAGGGCCAGUAAAACUCGUGCCAGCCACCGCGGUUAUACGAGAGGCCCGAGUUGAUACCAUUCGGCGUAAAGAGUGGUUAGGAGAAAUAAAUACUAAAGCCGCACACCUUCAAAGCUGUUAUACGCACCCGAAGACCAGAAGCUCAACCACGAAAGUAGCUUUAUAAACCUGACCCCACGAAAGCUCUGGCACAAACUGGGAUUAGAUACCCCACUAUGCCUAGCCCUAAACAUUGGCACGAAAUACCACACACCCUGCCCGCCCGGUGACUACGAGCAUCAGCUUAAAACCCAAAGGACUUGGCGGUGCUUUAGACCCCCCUAGAGGAGCCUGUUCUGUAACCGAUAACCCCCGUUAAAC